GUCCGGAUGGCGCAGUGGUUAGCGCAAUUGCUUAGCAAGCAGGCGAUCCCGGGUUCGAGUCCUGGUUGGGCACA